UGUAAUAUGGCUUGCUUGAGUCACAAUUGCUACCAGGAUGUUCUACAUACCAUUCCUACUAAGUACUGUAACUUCCCAAAUGCACCGGAUUUGAAAACAACAUCUGACAAAAGUUUUAUCAUACAGGCUUCAUACUGGUUCGGGUUACAGUAUCUUCUGAUGUUCUUCUGAUGGCUACUGGAUUCUAUUACUGCCUUAAACUCCCCAAGGUAUCCCAGAUGGUGACAAAACUGGUAUUAACCGAAUAUUAUUUAAAUUAUUAUUUGGCUGAGAAUCAUUACCUAGAUAUAACAAGAGAAGUUGAAACAUAAACCUGGUAGCAGUGGAGGAGGAAAAGGUGGAGGAGAAAUAAUUUUCA
rnacentral:lncRNA from 11 species